GACGAACGCUGGCGGCGUGCUUAAUACAUGCAAGUCGACUGAACUUAAGGUAGCAAUAUUUUAAGGGAGGUGGCGCACGGGUGAGUAACACGUAGGUAAUCUGCCUUUAGGACUGACAUAACUCCGCGAAAGCGGAGCUAAUUUCAGAUGAUGCAGCGGCUCGACAUCGAGACAGUUGUUAAACCUUCGGGGCCUAAAGAUGAGCCUGCGUCUGAUUAGGUAGUUGGCGGAGUAAUAGCCCACCAAGCCAUCGAUCAGUAGCUGGUCUGAGAGGAUGAUCAGCCACACUGGAACUGAGACACGGUCCAGACUCCUACGGGAGGCAGCAGUAGGGAAUUUUGGACAAUGGGGGCAACCCUGAUCCAGCCAUGCCGCGUGAGUGAAGAAGG
rnacentral:rRNA from 1 species